rnacentral:rRNA from 1 species
GUAGGUGGCAAGCGUUGUCCGGAAUUAUUGGGCGUAAAGCGCGCGCAGGCGGUUCUUUAAGUCUGAUGUGAAAGCCCACGGCUCAACCGUGGAGGGUCAUUGGAAACUGGAGAACUUGAGUACAGAAGAGGAAAGCGGAAUUCCACGUGUAGCGGUGAAAUGCGUAGAGAUGUGGAGGAACACCAGUGGCGGAGGCGGCUUUCUGGUCUGUAACUGACGCUGAGGCGCGAAAGCGUGGGGAGCAAGCAGGAUUAGAUACCCUGGUAGUCCACGCCGUAAACGAUGAGUGCUAAGUGUUAGGGGGGUUUCCGCCCCCCUUAGUGCUGCAGCUAACGCAUUAAGCACUCCGCCUGGGAUACGGCCGCAAGGCUG